rfam:Carnobacterium divergens DSM 20623 NODE_6, whole genome shotgun sequence.
UUUAACGCGUUGAAGAGUUACAGUAGAAUCUAAAUCUUAGUUCAGAAAAUUGGUGGACGCUGCGAACCAAUCGGGAUUUUUAUUUGAAGUACAAACUUGGAGCAUCUUUAGGAAACUAAAGACGGAGAGGUCCGUUAAACCAAUGAAGCGAGAAAUGAUCUAUUCAUUUCUAAACUGGGUGGUACCGCGAAUAAUCAAAUUCGUCCCUGUU